GAAAUUAUUACUUUACACAAACCUGAAAUUUCAGCAUGGAUUGUUGUGUGUUAGGUAUCUAGAAACAUAAUAAUCCCACUUUGAAUAAAACACAUCUGAAGAGCUGCUCCACUUGUGUAAGUGCCCUUACUCUGCAAGUUGCUGAUAUAUCUUCCCUUUUUAGCUUUCAAUUGUCUUCUGGCAUUAGAAUGAAGAAAUUGGAAUCAGAGCAGCUGAAGGAAAGCCUUUUCUGCAGCCUGGUAAACACCCAGGAAUGGCUUAAGAGAAGCUCCACCAGUACAGGUCUCAGCACAGAGUAAGGGUCUGUAUCAAGGUCCAUUGUAGAGACCCCAGAAGUGACCUGCUCCUUGGAAUGGUUCUUGGCAGUGACAGCACUUGUGUAUGACUGAAGAAGAAAACUGAUCCAGAUGAAUGCACUUGCAACAUGCACUGCAGAAUCAGCUGAAUCCUUUCUAGGAGUAGUGCUUGGUGCUUAUUUUUCCUCUGGUGCUUCAGAACACUGUGGUGCAGCAGAGCUAAGAUGGAAGCAUGGAAGUGAGACCAAAGGCAAUGCUGACCAGCAUCUGAGACUACGGCAGAGAAGGAUAUACAGACAUGAAAAUGAAGUAUUUGUGCCAAGACUUGGAAAAGAGUUAAAAAUCUGAUGAAUUUGGCUGCUUUCAAUGGCUCAGAUUGAGACACCACCCCUCCUCCACCCACACCCUUAGGACAGUGAGAUGGGAGAUGUUUGGCUGCCACUGCUCCAAGCACACUGAAAAGCACUUGGGCCUCUGUACAAGACAUAAAGAUGGACACUGCUGAACUAUUCUGCUGAAGUCUGGUCCUGUCACCCCAUCAAAGUCUUUAAGGCCACGUAUAGAUUGCUAUAGGAAUUCCUAAGCUUUAUGUGUAAAAUUGGAACUGAAUUUACCAAAGUGGGAAUAUAUUUUAUCUACAGUAAUAGGUUAUAUAAUAAAGGUUGUCAUACAUAACCUCCUUUUGCUUUACACCUUUUUUUUUUUUUGAUCCUAAUUACUGUAACUCAUUUCUGCCAUGUUCUGUCAUCUGGUGUAAAACAACAUAAUCACUGCCUUCCCUUCUUUCUCUUUUAUCAGCUUCCAGCUUGUCAGACAUGAAAAAAAAUAUUUAGUGUAAACGUAUGCAUUCCUUUUGGAUGAAACAUACAGGAGCUAAACCAAAAUUCUAUGAUGAUGAUCUGUUCCUGUGU